CGCUCGCGAGCGGCAGGCCAGAAAAAAUAAGCGUUUGUCCGCUGGUCCCAGGAAGGAAAGAUCCUUCGCGCCAGCUGUUCUCACCUGUUUCCACGCGCAAACAAAGGAAAAAGCAGAUUAACAGAGUCCCCUCAUCACCCGUCGUUGUCACGUGAUACCCAUCAAACUACUAGCGCACCCCACGCCCCUCUCACCCACCCUCUCUCCCUCGCUGGUCGUCAGCUUCUUUCCCAUGAAAGAAACCAGAUCCAAUGCCAUGAACCAGAUCCUGUAGAGCUGCCAUGGCAAAGCAGCCAAGGUGAGGAGAUCUUGGUCAGAAAAACAGGAAGAAGAGAAGAGAAGCUUACCAAGCAACGCCAAGGCACAUGCUUUACUGUCCAUUGGGUCACAUUAAUGUCUUGCCAUGCAUGGCUUUGUGGUCCAUUGAUUCGCAGCGAUGCUCUCAGAUGUGCUUCCACCCCAUGUAUCUGCCAAAGUCCAUGGUAUGAGAAGUUGAUCACGGUUCAUGGCUAGGUAGCCGAAAAGUGAAUCAAGAAUCUGAAUCUCCCUCCUUCUGGGGUUUACGACCACAAGGAACCAGUGGGUGUUCGCCAUGUUUGUAGGCAGAAAAACCUGGACAGCAAAGAUGAUUACAUCAACAUGCAUAAUAAUUAGAAAAAUAAUUGUGUUUA